CCGGGCGGCCCGGCAGGCAGAGCUCGGGGCGGGACGGGCGCUGCCUCCGCCCCCGACAAGAUGGCGCGGCCCGGCCCCGCUCCCUCAGGGCUCGGCCGCCAUGGCGGGGCGAAACAGCGUCGUGUCCCUGAGGGAUUCAGUGCAUGGUCACCCGCACAGGAAAGUUCUUCCUCGUGUUCAGGUAUUGAUGGACAUUAAUGGAUAUUGAUGGACACUGACGGAUAUUGGUGAUAUUGAUGAGGUCCCCAAACAAAGCCCCUUGGGCCCCAAAAGAUGACACCUCCACCACAUCCACAAAUGUCAUUUUCCUGAGAUUUUCAGUUUUCUGGUGGGGGCCGGGACCAGUGUGACACGAAUGUGACAAAUCCCCUCUCCCAGCCCACAGAGCUGGGUGUUUUCAGGCACUGCUGACGUCUGCAGCUCCGGUACCCAGCGCUGGACUCUGCCUCUCUCACGUCCCUCUCGGCAACAUCUGACGUCCCUAAUGGCUUCUGACAAGGUUAACUCGCUCUAAUUUGUGUCCUGCCCUUCCCAGAACGUGCAGUUCUCACACACAGCAGCUCGUGGCCCCUUGCCUUGCUCAGGGCUGAGCCCCUCAGCUGAUUCCUGCCCUUUCUCCUUCCACCGCCUGUCCUGAGGAGAUGUGACCCGUGCUGGGCUCUCUCCCCAGCCCUGCUGUUAUUUCAUCAAGGUGCAGCCCCCAGUCGAUGGGAAAGUGCUCCCCAUGCCACUGGCACCAGCUGGACCCUAUUCCAGCCAGACCUGCAAUUCUCUGUGGAUCUUUUGGGUCCUUGCUUCCAGCCUUGCCGCUGGUGCAGAGUUUGGCAAGCAGGAAUGCUGGCAGGGUGUUUGCUCUCCAGCUGCCCAACCCCUUCCCUUCCACCCCCUCUGUUGUAAUGUAGGCAAACCUGACGGGAAGAGAUGAUGGUGUCUGGCUCAGUUCAGAAGGUUGAAUAAUUUAUUAUAAUUAUACUAAAAUAUAUUAAUAAACUAAACAAAGAAAGACACUAAAAACUACAAACGUACUUGUUUUAACUAUAUUUUUAACUAACUCACAACUCAUGACCCUCUCUCUCGAGUCUAAACACAAGUAGGUCUGAUUAGCCAUCAGGCUCAAACCUUUCCAAAAUCUAAUCAAGUGAUCACUCUAGGUAAACAAUUCUCUAAACAUAUUUUGCAUAAGAAAAACAAAGAACAGGAAUAAAAAUUGUUUUCUCUUU